ACGAACGCUGGCGGCGUGCCUAAUACAUGCAAGUCGAACGGUCUUUUCUAUGGAAGCUUGCUUCCACUGAGAAGAUAGUGGCGAACGGGUGAGUAACACGUGGGUAACCUGCCCAUAAGAGGGGGAUAACAUCCGGAAACGGGUGCUAAUACCGCAUAGUUUUCUUGAUCGCAUGAUUGAGAAAGGAAAGACGGCCUUUGUGCUGUCGCUUAUGGAUGGACCCGCGGCGUAUUAGUUAGUUGGUGAGGUAACGGCUCACCAAGACGAUGAUACGUAGCCGACCUGAGAGGGUGAUCGGCCACAUUGGGACUGAGACACGGCCCAAACUCCUACGGGAGGCAGCAGUAGGGAAUCUUCCGCAAUGGACGAAAGUCUGACGGAGCAACGCCGCGUGAGUGAAGAAGGUUUUCGGGAAUCGUAAAACUCUGUUGUCAGAGAAGAACAAGUUGGAGAGUAACUGCUCCAGCCUUGACGGUAUCUGACCAGAAAGCCACGGCUAACUACGUGCCAGCAGCAGC
rnacentral:rRNA from 1 species